GGGCCCGCACAAGCGGUGGAGCAUGUGGUUUAAUUCGAUGCAACGCGAAGAACCUUACCAGGGUUUGACAUCCUGCGAAUCUCUUGGAAACUUGAGAGUGCCUUCGGGAGCGCAGUGACAGGUGGUGCAUGGCUGUCGUCAGCUCGUGUCGUGAGAUGUUGGGUUAAGUCCCGCAACGAGCGCAACCCACAUCCCUAGUUGCCAGCAGUUCGGCUGGGCACUCUAUGGAAACUGCCCGUGAUAAGCGGGAGGAAGGUGUGGAUGACGUCAAGUCCUCAUGGCCCUUACGGGUUGGGCUACACACGUGCUACAAUGGUGGUGACAAUGGGU
rnacentral:rRNA from 1 species